rnacentral:rRNA from 1 species
CCUACGGGCGGCUGCAGUGAGGAAUAUUGGUCAAUGGCCGGAAGGCUGAACCAGCCAUGCCGCGUGAAGGUCAGUGCCCUAUGGGCGUUAAACUUCUUUUGUGCGGGAGCAAUAAUGGUCACGUGUGGCCAGACGAGAGUACCGUACGAAUAAGCAUCGGCUAACUCCGUGCCAGCAGCCGCGGUAAUACGGGGGAUGCAAGCGUUAUCCGGAUUUAUUGGGUUUAAAGGGUGCGUAGGCUGAGAGGUAAGUCAGCGGGGAAAUGCCCCCGCUCAACGGGGUGAAGGGCCAUUGAUACUGCCUUGCUGGAAUGCGGAUGCCGUGGGAGGAAUGUGUGGUGUAGCGGUGAAAUGCAUAGAUAUCACACAGAACACCGAUUGCGAAGGCAUCUCACGAAUCCGCGAUUGACGCUGAUGCACGAAAGCGUGGGUAUCAAACAGGAUUAGAUACCCGAGUAGUC